CAAACUUCAAAUAUAGUAAUUAUAAAAACGGGGAAAAAACACACACACUGGAUGUUUUCUUUUUAUUUCAACUAAGUUGAGACAGUAGCCUGUUGGGCUUGUUUGAACAAAAUAAAUUCAGCACCAUCCGAUUUCUCGCAGCCUUGACAACUCACUUCGUAGGAACAGUUUGCCACCUUCUUGUUUUAAUAAGGAAGAAGAACAAGGAGAAGAAGCAGAAGCAUUACAGGACCAACCUAAAUUGGAAGAAUUAAGGAAGUUUUUAGUUCCCCUGCUUAUACUGAGAUAUAUAGAAAGCUUGCAUUUUUCAACCACCUUUGGCAAUUUGCUUCCAGCGAUUCAACAUCUCCCUGGUCGACACCUUUGGAGGCUCACCGCUGGAUGUUGCUCAGAGGACGACGUUACUCAACUGGCUCAGAAGAAAUGGUGAGCGAAGACGAUUACGAAAUUUGAAUACUGCCGCAGGAGUUACAGAGUGUGGACAUCAAACUGCAGUCAUUCUGGCCAAACUGAUGUUCAGCAAAGGAGGAGUGCAACACUUCCUGUUGCGACGUACCCUGUAUCCUGUUUUCCACAGUCAGUGGUCAUGCGUGUCAUUCCACUUUGCAGAGCAGUGUGGGCACAGUCUUGUGACCCUAUUCUGUAAAUUUUUCUCUGACUGAUUUUAAAACGUCUCCAAAGUUCAGAAAAAAAAAAAAAAGAAAUACAUCAGCAGAAAUUAUGCAUUAUAAUAGCACUGUAAAUGUGUAUGCAUGCCUGUUGAGAAAUAGCUGUGGGUUUAGUCAAAAAUAUGAUCAGGCAAAUCAAGAUAUUGCGAAAUGACAGACUUUUAUAGCGUUAAGGAAAGCGUAACAGUAACAGCAUUUGGAAAUCAGCAGCACACAGUGUUUUCUUUAGAGUAUAAGUAGCAUCUUAAAAUAAGUGUCUGGAGUAACAGUAAUGCGAACAUUGACACCUCCAUAUAGCCUGUGACUCGAGGGGCCUAGCUACGUGACCAUGAUUAAGAGGUGCCAACACAACUGUUUGCAUGCUUGUGUAAGCUUUUGGCCAGCUCAGAUACAUAUCUUGUGACAGCGUUUAGACCAAAAACUGUGAAAAACACAGUUCCACCCUGUGGCGUGACCAAACCAAAAGGCUGGAGGUGCAGGUCACAAGAAAGGAAUUUCACAAUAUGACACUUAAAUAUAUUGGUACUGGAAGUUUUAUCUUAUUCACAGCAGAGGUUUUAAUAAUUUGAGUGGUCCCUUCCGAACAACCUCACUUUAUUUAUGAUUUUAGCAGGAGACCUUUGAACUCGUCAGUGUAAAGCACAGGAUAUCUGUGAUGUUGUAUUCCAUAUAAAUAGUUCACUUUUAUAUCUGCUGGCUCAUUCUUAUAGUUUUCAGCCAUUUUUAAUUGAACAAGUGAAUCUUUUUCAGUCCAGACCAUUUUUCCAUCUCUUUUUAAUUUCUGUUCCUGCAAUAUUUUGAUAGCAUUUCAGAGGAUUAAUAGUUUUUCUGUAUUACCUAUUUUGUGAUAAUAGGUGACUGUAAUUAUUGACCUUUAUUUAAUUAUUAGCUUUAUGCUCAACCACAUUAAUGCCAGCUUGUAGCUCCUCUUUUAUAUUGGUUUACAAGGACCUGGUCAAUUCUGCAUUUAAACUACUGCUAGACUGCAAGAAAGGCUUCAUCAAAAUUUAAAAUACACAAAUGUGGUUUAACUAAAGACAAGCACAUUUUGGGAUAUUUUUUCUAAUAAUUAUCCCAAUGCAAAACUCACCUAUUAAUUAAUCAGUCCAGAAAUUAUCAUUUUGAAUGCCAACACAUAUGCAUUCUACUUGAUUCUAAUGAAUGAGCCAGAACAGGCUUCUUCUGAAGAAAAAAGACUACACUCUUUUGCAAAAAACCCCAACAACUAUGCAAACUAUAGUUUGGAUUACACUGUAAUUCAGAAAGCUCACAGAUAAGACUUGUUCCUCAAAUUACAUUUCCACGCAAAUGGCAAAAACUUCACUGACAUGGGACAUUGUGCAUGCAUUUAAGAGAAUAAACUGAAAAAAACUCUAGUUUAUAAAGACACCAAGCACAUCUCAUAAAACCUUCAUUAAACAAGACUGGAGAAGCAAACUGCAAGGGGAGAGAGAAUAGCAAUUUUUCAAAUGUAUUAUUAUAAAAUGACAGGAUUCUAUUACAUUUAAGAAAGUACAUAUGAUUUAGAUUAUGCUUCAUCAUUUCGUCAUUGUUCACAACCUAUAGCUGUAAAUAUAUUUAUUUAUAGAUAUCUUCCAGAACAGGAUUGCUCUGUGAUACUCUGUUAAUGUUGACGGGUUUUUUGGGAUUUACAGUGAGAAUUUUUUUAUUUCACUGUCCUGUUUUUUAGUUGCAAAAAGGGUUUUUUAGAUUUUGAUGUGCAAAAACCAAAGGAGUUUGAUUUAAAAAAAAUUGGUGCAAUUAGUUUUUCUAAAACUGUAGUUACUAGAAGGUGAGACUGAGCAGACAUUUUGUUCAAGGAUGGGAAAAUAAUCACGUAGUGGAUGAAGAAUGACAGAGUUUCUCACCUGCAAUAGUUAUGAGACCAAAGGUGGUGAGACUUCUCAGAUUUUUCCCAAUCGGAAAUCGAAAUUCACAAACCAAACCCAGUGAAGUUUUUCUAUUGGAAAUUAACAAUUUUCAGAUUAAGAGGUCAAAUGACGUGGAGCAAGUAAAUAAAUCUCAAGCUAUGAACUUUAAAAAAAGGAACAGUUCUUUUAGCUAAUGGCUUGUGAAAGUGCAAAAAACUUUUUUCUGCCAUUUUUUAUGUAAGAACACUAAAAAGACUUCCAUCACAGUGACUCUGGAGAAAGGUCAUCAACUGGUUUGUUUUGAUGUGUUUCUAAUACCCAGAGCUCACCUAAUGCCUUUAAAUGUCUGAACCCAGUCAUGCUGUGACUGAAUGCUGAAGUAAACAGGAACUUUUGGAAUUUCAAAAUAAUGCUUGCAGACAUCUUAAACCACUCCUCAUUUCAUUGCAUUUCACUUCUAAGAAGCCUGAUAACUUGCAGUUAUUUGAAAGGCCUUGAGAAAUCAUUCUUCAGGGCUCCUAAUGACCUUUAAAGUUCUGCUUGGACAUGAAAUGCUUUAUGUUUCACACAUUUUCAGUUCAAAGCCUUUCUACCUGAUUUUCUUUAUUAAGUUAGUUAGUUGUUUCCUCUUUCAAAGAAAACCUCUUAAAGCAACAUUUUUCAAAGAUAAAUAGACAUUUAAUCAUAGAAUCUUUAAAUGUAAUGCACGUAUAGAAAAGAUAGCAGAGAACAAUGUGUUCUUGGAAAUAAACUGAAGAGCUGCAGAUGCCUCAAUUUAUCUUGUGUAUUACUGUAACACCAGAAAACUGCAUACUUUUUAGUUGUGGAGUUUCACAGACCAUUGUCGGGGACUUAGAGGUUUUAUCAUUUUGCCCUCCACUUAAAGUUAAUAUGUUUUCGUCACAAAUUAGGAGAAUUCCAGCUUGGCUGAUGUAAUCACUUUUGCUUUUUGCAAAGCACAAAGGUGGUAACUUUUGAACAGUAUUAUCUUGAAAUUAUAUAUUUUUUCUCUAGGAUUAUGAGGAUGUUUGUCGUAUCGUCUACAUGGCCUGAGGCAAAAUGAAAACAAGACUUUGUCUGACUUUCUUUCAACAAUAGCAUUUUUUUGUCACACUUCCAUAAAGUUUUUAAUCUAUUAACGAUCCCUGAAUUGUUAAUAGAUUAUUCCAUUUGGAUUGAAUAUCUCUUCUUAUGUUACCAUGGCUGCUUUCCUGAUUAAUGUUGCUGCACAUACUGUCAGCAAAGGUGAACAGCUAUGUCUUGGUAGGCUUGCAGCUGCGCUCUACUCUAUUUUUAGAUCAUGUGUGGAACGGUGCUCUGUAAAGUGUUUAAUGCUUAGGAUAUAUUGUAAUCCUGCUUUAAUUUUAUCCACAGCAUUGUUCGAUGUGCUUCUUUAUCUUCGUUUUGCAACUUCCCCCCCAACAAACCUCUGCGAUCUUCACAGAACACUUGUAUAUGUUACGCUGAAAAUCAAUUAUUCACGCACAGAUUUAGUUUUUCUGCCAAUUACUGACAACAUGUCAUUUCAGGGCAAUAGGUUGCACUUGAUUUUAUUUAGUGGUAUCAGACAGAAAGGGGAUGAAAACAUGCCCUAGCCAAUUUUCAGUGUGUGCUGGUUUGUGUUGGUAUUUUUAAUUUUUAAAACUAAAAAGCUUUAAAAUCAUCAUGGUAUAUUUUCUUAAAUUAUAUAAUUGGGCAAAUCUAUUUUUAGUUUUCUUAGUCUGGAGCUCAUUCAAAAAUAUUUGGUGUACUUACAUAAUUUAUAAAGUCUUCAGUAGUUGUUUUUUUCACAUUUAAAGUUAACUAUUCUUAUCCAGGGACAUGUUGAAAUGUAGCCUGGAAACUUCAAGGCUUGAACAAACAUAAAAACAUAAAAUAUUUUCCCACUAUUCCCUGACAACAGACUUAAAAAAACAACAACUUGUGAGCAGAAAAGUACAACUGGAUAAUGGUCCCGUAUUACAUAAACUUAUAUUAUUUGCAUUAUUGUUUUUAUACUUGCGGUCUUCCUUUUUACCAUGUUCAGGUUCAUUUGCAACUUUUAAUGCUGAUGAGGAUGUAUUUGUAACAGUGUUGACAUUAUUCAAAUGACUAGAUUCAGACUUAUUAGUAAUUGUGACACUGUGUUAUCACUGUGCUAAUUUAUUUAUUUAUUUAUUGUAAAUAUGGCAUGUCUGUAUUUGGUAAGAAAAAAAAUACCAUGAAAAAGGAAAUUAGCAAAACUAAAAUUGACUGUAUGAUGUAAAAUUACAUAAUAUGUCUAGAAUUUUAAUUAUAUCAAAGUUAAUAAAACAUUCAGUUUUUGAAUGUGAGUGGAAAGGAUAAAAUAUGCUAUUAAAUAUGCCUUAGAGUGAUUUUGCAGUUGCAUGUGAUCUGUUGUGGUUUAUGUUUUAUAACUUGCAAUCUGUCUGCAGAAUAUGGAAAAGAAAAAAGCAGGUCACUAUGAACUCAAUGGUUGAUUUUCUUUAUUUAUUUUUUAUUUAUAAAACUUGUAAAAUGAGAAUGUACAAUCAGUCCUGAUGCUCCUGUAGCACAUUUCUAAGCUGUAAGAAAGGAACUUUGAUGAAAUAAAGCUAAAUUCUUAUCUUCCA